rnacentral:misc_RNA from 1 species
GAUGAAGAACGCAGCGAAAUGCGAUAAGUAAUGUGAAUUGCAGAAUUCAGUGAAUCAUCGAAUCUUUGAACGCACAUUGCGCCCGCUAGUAUUCUGGCGGGCAUGCCUGUCCGAGCGUCAUUUCAACCCUCAAGCCCCCGGGCUUGGUGUUGGGGAUCGGCGAGCCUCCGCGCCCGCCGUCCCCUAAAUCUAGUGGCGGUCUCGCUGUAGCUUCCUCUGCGUAGUAGCACACCUCACACUGGGAAACAGCGCGGCCACGCCGUUAAACCCCCAACUUCUGAACGUUUGACCUCGGAUCAGGUAGGAAUACCCGCUGAACUUAAGCAUAUCAAUAAGCGGAGGA